AGACUUGUCCAACCAAAAGAAUCACUACAACAAUCAAUUAUUAGCUGAGAUUCCUCUGCUACACAAUAUUGGAUAAGAACACGAUGUUUGCCAAUCUGUUCCCAAGUUGGAGAUACACAACAAAUUGCUCUUAAAGAAGUUGGACAAGCUAAAAAUGUAUCCACCUAAUCAACUUCAAAUUUCAAGUUUGGUAGAAGCAAAAAGAAUUCAACAGCACACCAAUCACUGUAGAGGGAAAUGGUUCUGAAAAAGCAAGGUUGUAUUAGAUAUGUAUUAGGUUCCUAAGCGUCUAUCAUAAAUGCUUCUAGAAUCUGAAGGGCCAAAGUGUGGACUACAUGUUACAACAAUCAAAAGUAGACUUGUCCAACCAAAUUUGUUUUCAGGAAUUGACGAUUUUGUAAUGAGAUUAUAUAUGCUUACCACCAAAGAGAAAAUAGCCAUUAAGAUAGAUGCAAAACAUUCAAGGCUCAAUCUAUAUAUGUUUAUCUUGCAAAGAAAGACAGAUAUCAUACCUCAAGGGAUAAACAUGAUAAUGUAAUAUCUUCCACGUUAUGAACAACUCUAAAAAACUUACUCAGACGUUCAACAUACAAUUCUUUAACGCCUGCUGGAAGCUCUGUAUCUAUUUCUGGCGCUUCAUCGUCAUCAUCCACAUCCAACUCAUAGUUGUUAUAAAGAUCAGCAACAACUAGUGAAGGCAUGUCACCUAGAUGAUAAUUUCUCGACAUGUAAUCAUUGGAUAAAAAGUGCUGUAGUUUUGGAACACAAAGAAUGAUCUUACUAUCAACUGAUUGACGACCAUUCUUAGAAGAACCUGAACACUUGACAAGGUCGAAUUCCGAAAGUUCAUGAAACGAAAAGUUAAGAUCCAUUUCAGGAAACUCACAGUUUGUUAUGACUAAUUGUUCAAGAAGAGGACAACUAGAGAAGAACUGCUUAGUUAACUUUUCAUCAUCGAAUGCUAGUGAAUCAAUGAACAUAGCUUUGAGCUGAGGUAGAUCAAUUGAACCAGGUAAUUUAAUCUUCAAUCGUCUUUCGUUUCUGUUUACCAAAUCUAAUUUCGGCAACGAUUGACACGUAAAAAGGCAAUGAGGAAACAGGAACUGAGAGAUGUCAACACUUAUGUCUACUUCUUCAACAUUACGCCUAACAGCAGCAAUGAUCCAUGUAUUAAUAUGAAUUUGUAGAUUCUUAUACUCUACAUUACAGCAAGAAAGUUCAAACCUCUUUAAAGUAGACAAGUCGCGCAGAAUGAGCACCUUAUCCACAAAAUUUACAAAACUAUAACCAAUUGGCCGUCCUGUCCCAGGUUUGAAGAAUGAAUAUGAAUUGAAAGCCAGUGAGGGGAGAGAAGUCCAGACAUACCUCCAUCUUUUAGACAAAACACUGGUUGGGACAACAUACUUCAUAUCACCAACGAGACUUAAGAUGUAAUAAAUUAGGGUUUCCGAGACUGAAUAAAACCUUCUCUCCCGCUUAGUGAUCAUUUCAUUGUCUGUCUCGACUGAGGGUCGUUUGAUAAUCAAGGUUUUGGAGAUCAAGUAAGGUAGUUUCGAUAAAGGAAAAGAUCAAUACGGAAUGGGUUUAGAGAGUUUAAGGGUUUACAGAAACCUGUUAAAAGCUGUGAAGAAACAUAUUGGUACUCAAGGUACUAAAAAACAUUAUACUGAUUACAUCACUCAAGAAUUCAGGAACGCAUCAUUAUUAACAGAUCCAAAAUUAAUCAAACACAAGAUUAACCUAGCUUCAAAUUAUACUUAUAUGCUCAAUAGCAUUCACCAUCACCAGGGCCUCCUUUUCUCUUACAACAUUGCUGUAGAUAGAUCCGAAGAAAUGACGAGGACACUAAGAAAAUCUGCGGGAAGUGUUGGUCUUCAGCUUCCUGAAAUCUAUCGAGAUUGAUCUGUAAUGGGCCUCCAGUUCGUUUCAAUCUGCUAUGCUUUUCCAAGAAUGGGUAAGUUAGUUCUUUUGGUUUUCACUUGGAAGUAAUUAUGGGAAAUUUAUUAGCGUUUUUUUCCCAAGAGAAAAAAAUAAUAAUUUACAGAUCAAUCUAAUAAUUUACAGAUCAAUCUAAGCUUUCACUACACCACUGUUCUUUUUCCUAAAAAUUGUUGUUUAUGAUUCAUCGAAUAGUACAUACUAUUCUUUGCAGUGUUAUUUCUGUUGCGAUCAGUAUAUAUAAAUGCAGUUUGAAAAGCAAAUACUAUAGUAGAACUGAAAGUUUGAAGUUCAGAAUGAAUAAAGAAUGUAUGUCUGUGUUUCAUUGUCUUA